CACAGCAGUUUAUCUUGCUCUGAAUCACACACACACACACACACACACACACACACUUCACCCCACCAGUGUUGCCGCCCUUCCCCCCUCCUCCUCCUUCUUGUCCUGUCAUACGUUCGACUUCAGCAUAUUAGUCGCCUUGUAGGUGUGUGCCAUCUGUGUCUUGUCCCCUUCCCUACUAGCUGUAGAAUCUGAAUUCAUUGUACAUACCAACUUCACCAACGAGAGGGAGCACACACACACACACACACAGAGCGAAAAAGAAAGCGUUUGGCCUCCUUCCCUCCUGUACUUCUCCUCCGCACACGACGCUGGUGAUCACUCCCACACGCCUAAUCCUUUUGGCUUUUAGCUUUCCUUUGUGUUGGCUUCGUUUUAUCUCUGUUUCUAUUGUUUCUGCUGUUGUUGCGUUUAUCGCCAGCGCCCUUGGCCUUGUCCUGGCAUACACACGGGCUGGCACCCCAGCACCCCGGGGUGCCCAGGACUUCUGCGUCUCUGGACGGGUGUUCCAUCUCGCUCUCUUCUUCCUCUUUCUCUUUCUUGUCCGCUGUCUGCGCAGAUCUAUAUAUAUAUAUACAUACACACUCACACACGCCUCUAUAUACAAAUCGGUAUAGCUAUAUAUCUUCCUGCUCUCUCGCCUUGUACGCCUCUUGUGUGUGCGCGCGAGUGUUCUCUUUUUUCUUUUUGUUUUCGCUCUUUCCUUUUGAGCGGAAGGUUGUGAUUCCUCGCUUGGUCGAUCUGCCCUGUCCUGCCCUGCCCUGUCUUUGCUGCCUAAGUGUUAUCUUUUUUUCGUUGACUUUUCCGCGUUGUGCUGCUUCGCCGUGUCUUUUUGCCCCCUCCCCCCAAUCCUUUGUUGUUCGCAUACGCACGCACGCUGCAGCGCUUUUUCAUCGUCGUCUUGUUGUUGCCGCGGUCAUCGUGCUCAUUCUGUUGUUUUCUGCGCGUGCUUCUUCUGACUUCCUCUCCUGUGCCACGUCUCCAGGGGGUACGUUAGAGGAGGAGGGCCACUCUCCCGCGUCUCGGACCUUGUGGGCCACGUUGUCGUCGACUCUCUCUCUCUCUAUACGCACACUGUGUAGCCAUGUCUAAUAGAUCCCUGCAUGGCGGGCACACCACCAUACACAACAACAACGCAUACCAUGACGCCGCCAAGGAGGAGCGCCAGCUUCAGGAGCAGCAGAAGCCCUCCAUGCCCGGAAGCCACGCCGCCGUCGAGCGGAUGACGGCAGUGCAAGUUGUCGACCGGCUGCGCUGGUGGCGCACCCAUCGUGUGCGUGAGCAGCCCAUCCCAGUCGAUCACUUUGUGCUGCGCGGCAGCUACGCCAACUACUCCUCGUUCGGCACGCGCCCCCUCGCUCCCAGUGUGACGCGACUGCUGCAGAAGGCACGCACGGUGCGGGCACAGUACCUCCGCACACAACAGCAGCCACAACACGAGGCGCCACGGCAAAGCCGACAAGUCUCGAGUCUGCUAAUGGCCCCCACAGCGGGGGCAUCCGUGCGCAGUGCUUCGAAUGAGCGACUGGGCAGCGAUGCGGGGGAGACGGAGCGCACCACAGGUUGCAUUUCAGAAGAGGAGGGCCAGUAUGGCGAGCACCAGCAGCGGCAGCUCCGUGAGAUGAAUGAUGAUGCGAAGGAAAAGGUGAACAACAAGCGCCGAGCCGCUGUCAUCGCAUCCUGGCCGCGGUCGCCGCGUCCCCUCAACGAGGUUGCCAUUGCCUGCCUCGGAGAGCCGGCAGGGCAGCGUGAUUCGGCCACUGAUAAUAUUACCCGCAUCUCACUCUCGGCGUCAGGUUCAGCCGGCACCUCUCCACCUCUCGUCAGAGCAGUGUCCGGGUCUGCUCCGAGUAUCGAUACGCCUUCCGGUGCGUUGUAUGUUCCCUCGGAACAGGAAGCGCGCGUCGCUGAGCGACUGCUCAUGCUGUUCAGACCGCGCGCCGCCUCAGCACCGCUGCGAUCACGUCGGUAUCGGUGCACCGCAGGACGCCUUGAUGCCACGUCCAGUGAAUUCAGCGGUGAGCCCCCUCUUCAGGGCGAUUGGGGACACGCGGAGGCCACUGGGCUGCACCAUGAGCGCAUGACACGCGUUUCCGCCUCUGACGAGAUAACGGAUGUUCGCCGCGCCCCCGGCGCAGCCGAAGCCGUGAUUGUCCUGCACCACGCCCCGCGGCUCGUCUUGUACGAGAAGGGGUUGAACCCGAAGGCGGCACUGCGGGCCGCCGGCAUCUCGUCGGAUGCCCUCGAAAGUCUCGACGACGCUGCGGCGGAGAGCUCAGCAGAAGUUUUCGCGCUGAGGAACCUACCCUUGUUCGCAUUUGAGCGCUUCUUUUAUCAGCAGCAGCUCCGCGGGCUGGCGGAGACGAGGCGGAGCCAUACGCCGGGGAUGCGGUCAGCAUCGGCAGACGCCAGCGCGGAGAGCGCUGGGGUCCCUGAGAGCGACACGGCUUCCGCUCCGACGGGUGCUGCUGCUGGUGCUGUUGCGGCGGCAGACACUGCCGUGGACGACGACAUCAUUGCAAAUGGUGAUGACGCAUUCUUCUUCGGGUCGCCCUUGACGGCGACCUUAGCGUGCUCGCUGAAAACUGUCGUGCCACUGUCGUCGGUUGCGGCAGCUGCGGCUCCCGGUUCACGUGGUCGAGACGGACGAGACGCUGCGGCCCGGCAAGCUGUACAGCAUCGCGGCCGUGGUCGAGACGACGGCAGCAAUCGCAGGAGGGGAGGCCGGGCAGCGCUGCGUGCUGUCUCAGUGCCGGCCCUGCCGCCAGUGUACAAGGGCGGAUGCCCACAGAUGACUCUCGCUACGUCGCAUCACCACCUCAGUUCCGGCGCGCGGCUGCAGCAACAACAGCAGAGCUCGAAUCGUCCCUCUCCGAUUCUCUCGGCGGGGCUGCGCUCCAGCAAGGCGCCGCAGAACGGUGCUCAUCUGUGCCUCCGUGUGGAUGACCUGCAGGAUGUGUACGUGUUCAACCCAGUUGUGGACAUGAUCGGCAAGGGUGCCUUCUCCAAGGUAUACGCGGCGGUUCCCAUCCUUCGCGGAAAAGAGGGACUUCGGCGCUUCGCCUCGCCGUUGCUGGACGGGCAGGCGGCCCCGUGCGGCAGCGACGAGCUCAGUGGCAGUGGCCCACGGGAGGGGGGCAGGCGCGUUUCAACGGUGCGGAGGGUGAGCCCAGUACGCCGGAACUCGUCCUCUACCGCGCUGCGUGUGGACCCUGCCGCCGGCGCGGCUGUCGGCGACGCGGCCGGGCCACUCACAGAUGAUGAGACGGCGAAGCGCAGACCGCACGCACAGUCACUGGCGGCGUCUCUACACUCUAUUCCCGUUGUCGCACUCAAGGUGAUCCCGCGCAAGGCACGCCAGAAGCCGAAGGCGGCGCCUGAUCCGCUUGCCACCACGCACUCCACUGCCGCUGCCGCGGCAGGAAGCGUCGCUUCGAAUGCGCAGCAAGCAGCGCAGAACGACCAAAACAGCGUGCGUCGCGAACUCGUCGAGAUCGAGCGCGAGGUCUCGAUCCUGCGCAGUCUUCACCACACCGGCUGUUCGCAGUUCUUCGAGGCGAUCCGCACCCCAGACGCCUUCGUCAUCGCGAUGCGCGUCUUCCCUGGCAGCAUGGAUGCACAGCGCUACCUCUCCCGCUACGGGGCACCGUCAGAGGCGCGGGCGGCCCUGCUGCUCUUCCAGCUCGUCUCCACGGUGCAAUAUCUGCACACCAACUUUGGACUUAUCCACCGCGACAUUAAGCUGGAGAACAUUCUCCUUUCCGAGGCCGACGCCGGAGUUCCCGACGCGCGCAUCCGCGAGGUGCUUGGGCCGGCUUUGCACAAGUCCGACACGUCAGCCAUGAUGACCGAGAUCGAGGGUGGCCGAAAAGGCUGCGCCUCGGCGACGACCGCCGCCGAAACCCGGACAGCUGCACAGCGCCGCUAUUCGAUGCUGUCCCGCAACGUGGCACGACUGCUGCGAGUGACUCUCAUCGACUUCGGGCUCGCUCGCCGCACCCGUGCAAGUACCCUGUCACCGAUCGUUGCCGCGUCGCGCGGGCGCGGUGCAGGGGCGCAACACGGCAGCCUGAACGCGACCAUCACGUCGCCAACUCACCUUGCCUCUUUCCCACCCACCAGUGCAUCCCUCGCGGCCAGCCACCCGCACGCCUCUCACAACCCGAACAGCAGCAGCUACAGUGGCAGCCUCGGCUCACCAGCGUCGUCCAGCGCGGGGUGUGCUGCCGGUGUAGUGAUGCUCGCCAAUGGCGGGAACAGCUCCAGCAACAGCUACACGCCGGCCAAACCGGCUCCACCGAAGCCGCCGCUGCUUUGUCGGCCACCCAGCGCGGCUGUCGGUGCUGGCACGGCACGCCUUGGGUCAAGUAGUGCGGGCAUCAGCGCCAUGGAACGGAGCACGCCGCGUGCUGGUAUGCCUUCGCCGAUGCCGUCCACGGCAAACAUGUUCACCCGCUUCCUCGACCUCGAGGAGGAGAUGGAUGAGGAGGAAAACGGUGGCGCAGCGGGCACAUCGAACACGACCGCCAACACAACCACGAAAGUCGCUGACCUCGGCCGGGGUGGUCGACGGGACAUGGCCGAGAACGAGGACGACAGUGGCGCCUUCAGCACCGACGUGAGUGCGUCGGAGACGGACUGCGAGUCGGAAGGCGGCAGCACCGCUGAACCAAAGGAAGGGAGCGCACCGAACGGGGAGGAGCGCCGCGAAACAGGACCACAGCAGGAGCAUGUGGCGCGCAAAGCACUCAUAUCUCCCAGCGUGCUGAGAGCGCACCCACAGACGCCACCGGGAUCAGCGAUAAUAGUGUCGCCUCCUCUGCCUCCGACCCCGAUGCUCCUGUCCAGCACCACCGCUUUUACCCUCGAUCACUUCAACGCAGAAAACAGUAGCAGCAGCUGCAACACCAGCGGCCCCGCUGCGGGCGGUGCUGGCCUGCGCAACAGAUGUGCUGGCUGUAUCUACACUUCCCAUCAGCAGCUGUCACCGGCGCCUCCAGUCGUCGCGGCUGGUGUGAGCUCAGCGCCGGAUGACACCGAGGCAACACUGCUGCUCACUCCGUGCGGCACAGAGAAGUACCUCCCGCCCGAGGUGCUGUCUUGGAUCCUGGAGCACGGCUGGGCGCGGCGCUCGACGACGGUGGGCCUCGCCCGCGCCAUGGACCUGUAUUCGAUUGGCAUCGUUGCAUACGUGCUGCUCAGCGGCUGCUUUCCCUUCAACGCGUCCUCGCGGGCAACGCUGCUUCAGCAGCAGCAGCGGGUGCCGCGGUGCAACAGCGCUCGCUGGGCUGGCGUGAGCAGCGCGGCCAUCUCAUUCGUGCAGCGGUUGCUAGAGCCGAACCCACGGAAGCGUAUGACGGCGAAGGAGGCUCUUGAGCAUCCGUUCCUGCACGAGGCUCGUCAGCUCGCCGAGAAGCUGUCGCUCGUGCCACACGGAGAGGGAGAGGAGGCGUCACACCCGUCGACUUGGCGGGACGGUAGUCACAUGGACAAUCACCACCGCCACAGCAUCGGCGGCACCGGUCGCCACUUCGAAGACGACGCCAACGUGCAUGCGCGGUCGCACUGGGCCACGAGCACCACGGCAACGACUAACUUGCCGCACUCGGCGCCGUCGCCAACGCACCCUGACCACACGCACUCUGGUGCUGCGAUCGAGAGGGCGUCGACGCAGCCGAGUAGCAGCGUGAGCCUCGCCGUCUACGACUCUCAGCGCCGUCACGCAGGUGGCCCGUGCGAGCUGGCGGCAGCAAAUGAGCCAUCACCGCUGAGCAGCAACAGCGGCGCCGACGGUGGCGGCGAGCUGCUAUGUCAUCACGUGGAGAGUGGCACUGCGCCAACUGUAACGAGCAUCAGCAGUGGAUGUCGUCUGUCCGACGCACCCCGCGUGUGCCGCAGCAGCGACGAGUGCGAGAGAGAUGAUGUGCGCGCCUCCGUUACUCGUGAUGUGCCUGGAAAGGUGCAGCCACUGCUGCAGGUUUGCAAGGAGAGUCCAUACUCGACAACACCACCGGUGCCUGUCACGCCGACGUUGGCCAAACCGUGCACGGCAGCGCUGGCAAGGGCGGCAUCGAUCGAGCUACCCGCCCUCUCCUCGUUGGUGGCGCAUCCAGCGAAACCCUCACCGUCUUCUACUCUUUAUUUUACCGCGACAGGCACGACAGCGUCUGCCGACGGCGGUCGGGCGGAGAGGGCGACGCUGCCGGAGCCAGAAUCUGCCGCAGCAGGAUCAUCGGCACCAGCGCUGGCGCCGGGCAGUAAGGAUGCAGCAGCCGCAAAUCGGCCUGUUUCUCUUUCGCCGGCCGCUACGACCAGCACUGCGAGGGCGACGGAGGGUGGCGAAGACGACUUAUUCGAGUCUCUCUACAACAACAUCAUGUCGAGCGACUGACGCGGAGCGGGCUUCUCCUUCUUACGAACGUGACACGUGCCUGCCUCCAAUUCUCGCUCUGUCUUUGCGUAGAGGCACUUUGCGCGGGUGCUUGGCAAGCGCCUGUCCGCCUGUCCCGAGUGCGCUUGUGUGGCUCUCACGGUGUUUCUUGUCCAUGCAGGUGAGCGUGCUUUAACUGUGAUGAUGCUUGUGUUUCGACAUGGCGUGCCUGCGACUAAUUCUAGAGACUUCGCGUUCCCCCGGAGGAGUUGGAUGGGCUCUCUGCGCAGAGACGCGUGAAGGAAGCGUCGGAUGCCGUACUCCGUCUCUCUUCGUUCCUGCUUUGUUUGCUGUUUUUUUUUUUUUUCUCUCUCUUCCCAUUGCGUUAUGCGAUGUGUUGGUGCCCGUGGUCGCUUCGUUGCUCUCGCCCCCCUCCCCCUUCCUCUGUUGUUGUUCCCUUACUGGAUGGGUGUUUUCUUUUCUUUCGCGGUGUACAUUCUGUGCGUGCCUCUGUGUGUGCGUGCCAUCGUAAUAUCUCAAGUUUCUUCCUUCGCGGUCGCUUGCGUCUUUGUUUUUCUUCGUUGCCUACGUCUCUCCCUCUUCCCCCCUCCCUUCCCAUGUCCGUUUUUCUACGAGGUCUACCCUCUUCUUCUUGGCUGCUGAGUGCAGAUGUUCCCGGGCGUGUUGUGCGUGCGGAAGUGUUUCUGCCGUUUCUUGUUCUUGGGCAGUGCAGCCUCUUCUCCUCCGUUUUACUUCCCUCCCGACACACACACACACACACACGCUGACGCAAACGCAUAUAUAUAUAUACAUACAUAGGGAGAGCGGAUGUGUCCGUGUCGGUGCGCGCGCGGGUUUCUGUGCGUCUGUAUGCAUCCUUUUCUUUCUUGCCCGUCUCUUCCUUUCUCCCCCAUCUGCACCGGAGCCAUCAUGUUUUGCCUUAGCGGAGGGGAACUUCGACAGACACAAGCAGCCGACGGCGAUAAUGUUCAAUCAAGACACCAGCUGUACUUGUGUGUCUCUCUCUGUGUAUCCGUGCGUCCUUUAGCCUGGCCCCCCUCCCCCACUGUGUACGGCACGCGCCUAUGCACGUGUGUGUAUGCCUGCACGUGCUAGGGCAGGUGUGUAUGCGCGUGAAAGAGGCCCGUGCUGCUUAGAAACGCGGCCAGGGGUCUCAGCAUGGAUAUGCCAGCCAGAGGAACACACCGCAGCAGGGGAGAGAGAGAACCAGCGAGAGGGGGUGCCGUACAUUCCUCCACUCCUCCGCAUCAACGUUGUCCUUCAUGUACGUGCAUGCGCUAGAAAAAGAAACAGACAUGUGGGCCCCUCCUCCCCCCUCCUUGCUCACCGACGCCCAGGCUAUGUAUUCACGUGGCAAAGGAGUAAAGGCUUCACACCGCCUCACCGGAGGCAAAAAUCCGUCAUGCUGCAAAAGCGUAUGGGCAAUCAGAAGAAGAAGCGAAUGCGAGACGAAGAAAGACGCCGUUGCCUGCUUUGGCUUCGCAUUCAAAUGACCGAGGCGACUGCGCGCACCAGAGGGCGCUGCAUUCCACACAGCUGCGUGGUGGGCGGGGAAGACCUUUAGGUUCUCCUCGGGCCUUCCCGACAUCCGACAGAAGGGAGCACCGCGGAGAAGACGCUGAGGCUGGAUGCACUUCAUUUCCCCCCUCUGCAUCUUCAGUGUGCUGCUGCACGUGGUGGCGCCUCUGCGCUUCCAUGUCUCCCACCAUGCUCCUUUCAUGGACCUGAGGACACACGCCCAAAAACAUCCCCAAGCCUCCACUGCACCACAGCUGUCUCUCCCGGACCUCUACAUGCUUAUCGGCAUCAAAAACGAGUCGUGCACACGACCUCACACCUGCUUCCGCUCCUUUCCACUUGCGAAUUAUUUAUCAUCGCCAGCAAGAGAAGGAUUGGCUGCAUAUCUCCUCCUUUUCCCGCACCGUUUCUUUUUUUUCUUCUCUCCCCCUCUCCGUCUCUCUCUCUCUCUGCACGCGUGUGUGCGUGUGCGUGUGCAUGUGCGUGUGCUGGUCUGCAAG
rnacentral:misc_RNA from 1 species